UGGUGAGCGUCCCUUCUGAGUUUAAGAGC
rnacentral:piRNA from 1 species